GGGGCCGUAUUGGUUUUGACGGGGAUGUCAUUCGGUAGCGGCUGCAGUAGAGCGGCGAUCUAUAACGCCAAAACAAAAUAACUGACAACAGUUACAUGUAUCGCAACACCAACCGUGUUGCGUAUGCUCGCGCCUAAUUUAAUUUAGACACCUAAUGGGUCCUGCAUAGAGUCAGGGCGGCACGCUCCCUGCGGUUUCUUCGUCUCAUGCGCAGCAAGAGUGUCAUAACAAGACGAUAAGCUGGUUCGCUCGGCUAGGCGGAUCGGACGAAAAUCCUAUAGUCUCGCCUGGGGGUAUUCUGGUUGUGUCCUCGACCUCAGGUUAAAUCCCGACGCAGCCUAAACUGUAGAGGCUGUUAUUGGAUCAUCUUCGGACCGGAGUUCGACUCUCCGCGGUUCCACCA
rnacentral:tmRNA from 1 species